rnacentral:rRNA from 1 species
UACGUAGGUGGCAAGCGUUGUCCGGAAUUAUUGGGCGUAAAGCGCGCGCAGGUGGUUUCUUAAGUCUGAUGUGAAAGCCCACGGCUCAACCGUGGAGGGUCAUUGGAAACUGGGGAACUUGAGUGCAGGAGAGAAGAGUGGAAUUCCACGUGUAGCGGUGAAAUGUGUAGAGAUGUGGAGGAACACCAGUGGCGAAGGCGAACUCUUUGGCCUGUAACUGACACUGAGGCGCGAAAGCGUGGGGAGCAAACAGG